rnacentral:rRNA from 1 species
CUACGGGUCGCUGCAGGCGAGAAAACUUUGCAAUGUGCGAAAGCACGACAAGGUUAAUCCGAGUGGUUUGUGCUAAACGAACCUUUUGACAGUCCUAGAAACACUGUUGAAUAAGGGGUGGGCAAGUUCUGGUGUCAGCCGCCGCGGUAAAACCAGCACCUCAAGUGGUCAGGAUGAUUAUUGGGCCUAAAGCAUCCGUAGCCGGCUCUGUAAGUUUUCGGUUAAAUCUGUACGCUCAACGUACAGGCUGCCGGGAAUACUGCAGAGCUAGGGAGUGGGAGAGGUAGACGGUACUCGGGAGGAAGGGGUAAAAUCCUUUGAUCUAUUGAUGACCACCUGUGGCGAAGGCGGUCUACCAGAACACGUCCGACGGUGAGGGAUGAAAGCUGGGGGAGCAAACCGGAUUAGAUACCCGCGUAGUC